ACGCGAAAGUGCCAAAGUUUUUCAUUGUAAUAAAUAUUUUAAUUUUGAACUUGAGCAAUUAACCCGGGAACGCAUGUGGAAAGGCAAGGCAAGGAAUGAAAUGGAAUGGGGAUGCCACCUCCAUUGUCCUGGCAAUUGUGAUAGGGAUACCACCCACUCGAGCCCUUUUUUCCUUCGCUGGGCGUAACGCUCUCCACGAGCAUUAUGAACUUAAGCCCCCCCGGCAAACAACAAUAACAAUAAGAGGCUGGGACACAUGCCAAAGUGGUUAAGUCGGCGGAGAAAUGUUGGCAAAACUUUUCGGGGCGACGCAUUUAAAUGAUUUUGCAUAAUUCAAAUGGUGGCAAACUUUUCGCAUCCCGAGAAACACACAGGCAGCAACAAACAAACAAACCAAAAAUAAAAAAACAAAAAUAACGAAAGCGUUACGAAACUUGGCCCCGAACUUGCCAGGUGAACAGUCAGGGGUGGAUGCCCCCCAACCACCGGGAUGCCGUCAACUGGAAAUGUACACAAAGGGCUUAAUUAUAAAAGUCAACACACGGCACAGAACGGCGCGGCGCAAAGCGUUUCACAAAGAAGCUCGGGGGUUAGGCACUCUCUAUAUCAUCAUCAUCAUCCGCACCCGAUGCACUCGCACCCAUUCACCGCGCUCAAACAAAAACCCAAAAUCCAAAAAGCAAGAGCUGAAUCUGAAUCUGAAUUUGAAUCCGAAUCUGAAUCUGUGAGAUUUUUACGGUUAUUUGUUUGGAAAAAAUACAAAAUAAAGAAAAACAGGAGGCCGGCAAAAGGCAGACCUGCAGUAAUUCAAACAGCGAGCAAACCGGAAAAUGUGAUAAGUUUUUUCAAGUACAGCGAUUGCCAUAACUGUAAGCUAACCUAGUUAUAAACUUAU